UACGACUACAUCACGUUGAAACACCAGUUUUCGUACGAUCACUGAAGUUAAGCAACAUCGAGCCUAGUCCGUAGCUAGACGGGUGACAGUUUGGAAAUAUUAUGUGCUGUAA